AGUGAACGCUGGCGGUAGGCCUAACACAUGCAAGUCGAACGGCAGCACAGUAAUAGCUUGCUCUUACGGGUGGCGAGUGGCGGACGGGUGAUGAAUACAUCGGAAUCUACUUUUUCGUGGGGGAUAACGUAGGGGAACUUACGCUAAUACCGCAUACGACCUACGGGUGAAAGCAUGGGAUCUUCGGACCUUGCGCGAUUGAAUGAGCCGAUGUCGGAUUAGCUAGUUGGCGGGGUAAAGGCCCACCAAGGCGACGAUCCGUAGCUGGUCUGAGAGGAUGAUCAGCCACACUGGAACUGAGACACGGUCCAGACUCCUACGGGAGGCAGCAGUGGGGAAUAUUGGACAAUGGGCGCAAGCCUGAUCCAGCCAUACCGCGUGGGUGAAGAAGGCCUUCGGGUUGUAAAGCCCUUUUGUUGGGAAAGAAAAGCAGCAGGUUAAUACCCCGCUGUUCUGACGGUACCAAAAGAAUAAGCACCGGCUAACUUCGUG
rnacentral:rRNA from 1 species